UUUUUUUUUUUUUUUUUAAGAAUCUGAAUUUUUAACAAGCUCCCUCAGGCUUUCCUGAUACACAUGAUCUAAAGACCACAUUUAGAAAAAUCUGCUUUCCUUUGGCUUCGGAUAGGGCAUAGUGGCUACAUUUUGGAAACCUAAUUACAAAAUCUAUGGUCUAUAAUUUAUUGAGCAAUUUCAGUGUACUAAUAAGUACAGCUAAGUUUAUCAAGCACUUGCUGUGUGCCAGAUUCUGCUUCAAGGGCUGUCCAUGCAUCAUCUCACUUAAUCCUCAAAAUAACACAACAAGGUAGGGUUAUUAUUAUUCCUCUUUUGCAGAUAAGAAAACAAAAACUCAAGGGGUUAGGUAACUUACCUGUGGCUGCACAGGCAAAGCCAGAAAGAAGCCUAUCCACCUUCCUUGUCUUUUUCUAAAGCUUGAGUUUAACCAUUAACUCUAGCACAGUGCUGGCACAUAGUAGACCCUCAAUAAAUACAUGUUGAAUUACAGGGUGAAUAAACAGAUAGGGGUUUCGCAUGCGUUAACGCUAAUCCUCAAGGGAGAUAUUAUCAUUAUCCUCUAUGAAACAUCAAGGACCCUGAAACUCAGGGAGCUAAAACCCUGUAACUAUGUCUUAGUGUAUGUCUAAAGUCCAUAUGCUUCUUACCAGAUCAGGGAGGCUACAAGCCACAAUCCACAUGCCUUCUCAAAAGAUUAUUUUUUCACUGUGCAUUUAUACUAUACAAAAAACUUCAAUUGCUUUGAGUUCUGCAGUUAACAACUGGCUUCUAUCCAAAAGAACCUCAUUGUACUAAAUCAGGCCAAGUGGUGGCUCCACCACUCAGCGAUGUUUUUACUCCUCCAGAGGUGGAGCAAGCCCUGGGCAUGGCCAAGCUGAGGAGGGGUGGCCUGAACCUUUACACUCAGGGAGGCACAAGCAUAGCAAUUAAAGCUUCAGACCACCCUGGUAGGUUCUUUUUAAUUAAACGCUUCUCCAAACACCUGGGAGGGCCACAACAGUGCGCUGGGCAGGAGGGGUUUGCUGUGGAAAUGCCAUCUGCACUGAUGAAGAGAUGGCAACAUCAGAGGCCUCCUCUUCACACACACACACACACACACACACACACACACACACACACCCCGGGACAGUUUCCCUGCAUCACACAGGUGGAUUCCGGGCUGUCACCACUUUCUGCCCCCUUCGAACUAGCAGCAAAUCACCCUGGCUGCCUGUUUUCAUCAGAAAGACCUUCCAGCUGGGCCACCACGGGCCCCUGGAUCAUUUCACUUCUUUAGGACAGAAACUGGAGAGACUCAGUGUAACACCAGCAGGUUGUAGUGCGAACAUGUGUGUAGGGUGCACCACCUCCUCUGAAAUGCUGUUCUCUCUCUACUCCCCUGCCACACCCGUCCUCCCUACUCCUCCUCCAUCUUCCCCUUCCUCUCUUCCAUCCUUUCCCCUUUCUCCAUUUCUUUCCCUAGCCUAUCAGAUGCAUCCUCUACCCUAACUCUCCCACCAGGGUUCCGCGGCCAUUUAAGUGUCAGCUUUGGAGGCCUGGGGCAGGCAGAACGGCAGGUUGCAGCAAGUAACAAUGAACCUUUGAGUCCACUUUGGAUAUGAGUUUCCCUUCUGGAAAAUGAGUAUAUUCACAUUUGCCAACUUACUGUCUCAAAACAGUGUCUGUGGUUCUGUUUCUUGCUGUGUAGUUCAUAAAGUGUGUGCUCCCUUUCUGGGCUCACGCAUCACGACCCCUUAAAAAGUAUGGAAUCUUCGUGAAGUGAACCAGGGAGAGGGAAACGACUCACUCAAGGACACACAGCUUUCAGUGGCAGAGUCAGGACCAGAAGCAAGUCUUCCCACCCUCUCUUGCCAUCUGAGUUCUUGGCGUUCAUGACAGUGAUUCUACGGGACAUAGCAUGGAAGAAGCUGACCAUGAGCACGGCUGCUCUCAACAGGUCCUGAAGAACAUCAAGGAAAAUAAGAACAGAAAAACCUUACAAGUUGGUUACCUUUCGUUUUUUAAUUACUUUGCAAUCUAAUUAUACUGAUGAGGUUCAUUAAUGUCAGAUUAAUUUUGCAUGUUUUACAAGAUUUUAUAAGAUUAAAAAAAACAAUAACCCAUGGAGUGUGGGCCCAUGAGAUGUGUUUAAAGAGAAGAGGACGUGGAUGAGCGGCUUGCUCCUGACCUGCUUGACGUGUGCUAUAGAUACUUCCGGGGCAUGCUCUCAUGGGAGCCACCCAACCCUGC
rnacentral:lncRNA from 1 species